CCUACGGGAGGCAGCAGUGAGGAAUAUUGGUCAAUGGGCGCGAGCCUGAACCAGCCAAGUCGCGUGAGGGAAGAUGGUCCUAUGGAUUGUAAACCUCUUUUGUCGGGGAGCAAAAGACGCCACGCGUGGCGUUCCGAGAGUACCCGAAGAAAAAGCAUCGACUAACUCCGUGCCAGCAGCCGCGGUAAUACGGAGGAUGCGAGCGUUAUCCGGAUUUAUUGGGUUUAAAGGGUGCGCAGGCGGAAGAUCAAGUCAGCGGUAAAAUUGAGAGGCUCAACCUCUUCGAGCCGUUGAAACUGGUUGUCUUGAGUGAGCGAGAGGUAUGCGGAAUGCGUGGUGUAGCGGUGAAAUGCAUAGAUAUCACGCAGAACUCCGAUUGCGAAGGCAGCAUACCGGCGCUCAACUGACGCUCAUGCACGAGAGUGUGGGUAUCGAACAGGAUUAGAUACCCGAGUAGUC
rnacentral:rRNA from 1 species